UACAGAGGGCGCGAGCGUUGUCCGGAAUCACUGGGCGUAAAGGGCGCGUAGGCGGCCCGGUAAGGUUGCGGUGAAAGCCCGGGGCUCAACCCCGGGUCGGCCGUGGCAACUGCUGGGCUGGAGCACAGUAGAGGCGGGUGGAAUUCCGGGUGUAGCGGUGGAAUGCGUAGAGAUCCGGAAGAACACCGGUGGCGAAGGCGGCCCGCUGGGCUGUUGCUGACGCUGAGGCGCGACAGCGUGGGGGAGCAAACAGG
rnacentral:rRNA from 1 species